GAACAUUUUCUGAACCUUCUCAUCUAUUCCCUCACAUUUGCCUCUGGCGCUCUGCAAUCUUCCUCCUGGGAUGGUCUUGGUUUUCUCCCAGGACUUUCAUGUUUCUGGUUUUUCCUGUCCCCUCUAGUUGUAUCCCAUUUUCUCUUUCCCAUCUUGGGCAUAGCUGGCACUUGAUCGCAGUUCACUACCAACCCAGGCUGGUCCUGAACUUUGCUCCACAACCCAAUCUCUCUGUCAUGUACCUUCCUCCAGAUAAGGCAUUUGAAGAAAGUCUCCGGAAUGAUAUUUGAAGAAGAUAGGAAGCCUAAUAAGGAUGAGCACAGUUUGGAGUCAGUCAUACCUGGAUUUGAAAUCCAUCUUGCAUGUUACUAUGAUCUUGGGGGUCCUGCUGGGUAGAGGAACAGGGCAUAGAAGUCUUGCUGAGCAGAGGAAACGGAUAUUGGAGUUUGGGUUUCUAAGGUGGCUGGAAUCUGUGGGGCAGGAUGCUGGAGAAGACACUGUGCAGAAAAGGAGCAUCAGAAAUAUGCAUAGAGCAUCUCUUGGGCCUUGACUGAACACCAAUUUGCUUACAUGCAGGAUAAGACAUCGUAAGGCCUGGGGCUGAGAGCUGAACGAGGACUCCAGAGGUCAUAGAGCGCUCGGAGAUGUGCGACUUUCAACUGUUUCAAGUGAAGAGAUAUCACAAAAGCCCAGGGCGUUCAGUUGAAACAUCAAAAAGGCCACGUCUUAGGCAUAAGGAUCAUAUCACGGAGUAAGAAGUCUAGCCUGAGUCUAACAAAAUGUAAAACCAAGUCUCAACAGGAUCAAGAUGAUCUUCUAGUAACUUCACUGUCUGCUGAAAUAAAACUUCACACUCUUUAAAUGAAAAUAAUAUAAUGUAGACUGUCCACCAUUUAGCAGCUGGGUGAGCGUCCACUGGAGCCCCUGAUUGGCAGUGUAAUAUCAGCCAAACUUUUCUAAUCCUCAGUAAAAUGAUGAUUAUUAAGAUCCCUACCAGUUCAAAUUUCUAAAAUUAAAGAUAUAAGCACAGCUUUCUUUCCUUGGUACCAGCUGGUUCCCCACAUCUCCGUUUAGGCUUCAGGCUUCAGAAUCUGUACACAGAAAAG
rnacentral:lncRNA from 1 species